rnacentral:lncRNA from 1 species
CCCUCACCGUAAAACCUGUAUACUUUCCCAGAAAAUAGCAUAUAUAUAACAUAUAUAUAAGCAAAAAGCUCAAAUCUCAAACCUUUAACACUUUUCAGAAAUAUAUAUAUAUAUAUAUAUAUAGAUAUAUAACCAUAUGAAAUCUCAAAGCUUGAAUCCCAAAUCUUUAACAUUUUUCAAGAAAAACAUGUCAUGCCAUAAAUCAAAAUAUAAAUCAGGUGAAAUAAGGAAUCAAUCGGAGACCCUGCAGUUGGUCCUAUACGAUUAAUUCAAUAGCUCAAUAUCUCACUAAGCCGGAGUCACCACAGUGACCUAUACGGCCCUACUCUGCACAUCACUCGGAACUACGUAAGGUAGUCUAUACGAUGAAAGGUGUAAAAUACGCUCUAGUGCUUCUCUCAUCAUAUCAUCAGCGCGCAUAUCUAAGGUCACCCACCAGUCGGAACCCCUCUAAUGGUCUGUACGACUGGCAUGUCGGAACCCUCACAUGGUCUGUACGACAUCCACCUACUUGGAUCCAAGGCGAGCGUGCGGUGUGGUGAAUAAUAUAAGCACUAACACCUAGGGUGCAGAUUAUGAGCUCAAACAUCUCAACAACAACAAUUCAAUGAAUAAACGAACUCACCUGACUUGCCUGUGCCUCCACAGCACCAUGCAACAUGUAUGCAUCAUAUAUCAAUCAUAUAACUCAUAUGAAAUUCACAUUUUCCAAAUAAUUCUAUGCAUGGCAUUUUCAAAACAUAAUUUCGCAUAAAAGCAUUUUUUCUGGGAAAAAACAAUAGUAUAUAGGUAAUACGAAAACAAAACUGCCCACUCACCUGGAGUUCGCCCACAACUCCCUAGCACCGUACAUCAAGGCGUCAUGACGAUUAGCGCCUAGAACAACAAUCAAAUCCAACCUCAGAAAUUCUGCCGAUAGAAUACAUAACUAUAUAAGACACGUCACUACGUAGUUCGAUCCGGAUGAUCUGCAAUUCAGAUUUCAAAUCCGUAACUUCCAGAGGUCCACAAUAUACCUCUAGGACAACAUCCUAAAAUUUCAUUACCAUCCAACGGUCGGAUCUUCGUCAAUUUCCAAAACUAAGUGACGGUUAACAUUCUAUUUUAUGAACUUACAACUUCAAUUCCAGAAGAUCCGUAAAUCGGAUUCCCAAUCCGUAAGUUCCUAUAAUCCUCAAAUAUUACGUAUUACAACGUAUCAAAGUUUGAUGAUGAUCCAACGGUCGGAUCGUCAAUUCACAUUUUCAUCUAACCACGAAUCGUAACCAACUUAGGUUCAAUUAUUCAAUUUACGUCCAUCAAUUAUCAAAACAGAACCUAGAACCUUAAUCACAAGCUAAUAAUGACAUUGGCGGGCCAUUGGCCACGCGCCGCCGCGGGUGGCGGUUGGCCGCCCCCGGCUCGCCGGAAAAUUCAACUAUUUCAAAAAAUUACCAAAAUUUGCAGAUUUGAAGAUCUCAAUGAGUAGAACAACUUUCAUACCUGAGACCAAGGCCAAUUUGGCCUGGAAGUGCUUCAAUUUCACCAAAACCGUGAAGAACCCUAGAAUUUGGGUGUUUCCAAUUCGACCUUCAAACUUGUUCCAACGCCUCAAUUACCUCUUGGGCUUUGUUCUAGGUCCUAAAGGAAUGCUAAAGGUGUUAGUAAUUGAAAGAAAACAUUUCAAAAUUUGGAGAAUUUAAACAAAAGGGUCGCGGCACCCGUAGGGGGUGUUCUUCGCGAAAUCACAACGAAAUUCAAUGAUUCUUGGGGUGAAACGUAAAGAGGGAAGGCCUAGAUGAUGAUUAGGAGUGGUACCUUGACUCAAUUCGUCGGAAAUUUGGACGAAAUCCAUCGAAUUUGGGCGUGGGCACCGCCGGGUCGAAAACGACCCACGGGUUCUCCCCAACCCAUUUCCUCUUUUCCUCCGCUUCUCACCCUCUCUCCCUUCCUCCUUUCCCUGUUCCGAUUGGUCAGUUUCUUCCCCUCUCUGCCUCUGAUUCGCUCUCUCUCCUUCUUCUCCGAUUGGGCAGUUUUUGCCCAAUCUCUCUUCCUCUUUUCUGUUUUCUGGUUCUUCCCACGCACACACCCACACAAAACUUUCAUUUUUCUCAUCCCAGCCAUCCAUUUCAAAAUCCUUUAAUCUGGGCCAUCCAAAUUUUAAUAAAAGAAUUUCUAUAUUUUACUAAAAUUAUAAUUCCUUAAAAUUCCAAAUUUCAAACGUUAAUAACUUCUUCGAUAUAACUCCAAAUCACGAACCGUCUGCGCCCACGCGUCCGUAACGACGAGUACUACGAGGAUAUGUCAAGAAAACAAAUCUUAGAUGGCCCGACACAACGAUUAACCUCGAAUGAUGUGCGUGCCUCAAAGGGCAUUUUUGUAAAAUCCUUUAUUAAAACUUUAAAAAUUCUUAAAAUUAGGGACGGGCUGUCACACCAAAUCCAUGUAGUCCUUACAUCACAAUUCUGUCAAAAAUUUUGUUAUGUGCUAAUGUGACACAUAAAUGAAUCACACAAGUCUAAUUAAAUUAAAAAAAAAAUAUAUAUAUAUAUAGGUUUAAUAAUUUAAUAGUAAUAAAAAGUUGUGAACCCAAAAAUCCAAUCCUGCAAUCAUCUCCGAUCUCAGUCCACAUUCCUCUACCUCCACUUAUCUUUACGCACUUCGACACCCUUCACCGAAUUAAACCUGGAUUGAGAUCACCUUUGAUGAUGGCUUGGCUAAUUGGCAAUGACUUAUGGGACAUCACUGUUAAUAUUUAGGCGAUCAACUUCCUCACAACCUUAAUCUUGGAAAGCUUAUUCGACGCUUUCCUGGUGGUCUGGUGACUCAAAGAAUGGUGAGGUUUGCCUUGAGAUAAUGAGGUUAUAACCAAGGUGCAUCUAUUAUUGGUUGAAAACUAUUUCCAAACCCCCUCUUAGGCCUUGGUUAAGGUGCCUUUGAGAAUUUAUGGAAUAGAUCACUCUUCGGAGUAGGUCCUACUAUAAAAAAAUAAUAUAAAAAAAAUUCUAUUGUGCAAACAAGUAUUCAAACAAUUUUUUUUUAUUAAUUAUUAAACUCACAUAAGCACGUAACAAAAGAAUUGUGGCGGAAUGAUCAUAUUGAUUUGUGACAAGGGCUACAUUAAUCAAUUUUCAAUUUUUGGAACCAUCUUGAUGGUGUGGGUCAAUUUCAUGGACCAUUUGUGAUAAAAACCCAAAAAGAAAUAAACUUAUCUUCUAACUAAAAUGGUAUUUGACGUGGCUUUAAAUUUGCUCAUUGAAGAAUUUUUCGAUCAAUAUUAUACAUCUCCGUAUACACCUCCGACUAAAGAUGCCCCAAGGGAGGAGAAUUCAAAUUUACUGACGUUUUUUUUUCUUUUUGUUCAAAAGAAGCUCAAAACUUUAAGGAGGACAACUUGUUCAAAGUAUUUCUGAAAGGUUCAUGUGGAUCAUAAUUCGUGCCAUUUGCAAGUUACAGGUCAGAACCAAGACUUUCAUAAUAUUUCAUGAAGAGUAUAACAAAAUAUUAAUAUCUUUUAAUUUUAUUCCAACUGAAACGUCUUAUUACUAUUUUUUUAUAAAUCAAAACGAAGCCAAAACAAAACAUUUGGAACACAAACCACAAAUAUGAACAAGUUUAAUUUAGUUGUAGGAAUCAGGAUUAGCCAUUAUGGAAACGAUCAAAGAGUUCUAAGGAAAUAUGAAGAAAAUUGUUGAUCUACAAUAUUCAGGUUUUGACUUGGAGUGAAAGGGAAUGCUGAUGUGAAUAGCUAUGCUUGUAUCAACCAGUUUAUGCAAGUUGGUACUGUACAUUUCUAUUGUUGUCCGUACUGCCUUGCGACUAGUAUAAGCACUUCCAGAAGUUCAAUUUAGGAAUGACUUGACCUGCAAUUCAACAUUGGCUGCAAUGCGUCGGCUUUUGAUUGGCCGUUAUUUUUCAUUGGCUUUUCACAUCCAAAUUGGAAUAUUCUAGGAAUUAUUAUUGGCACUCCAAAAAUCUCAUUUUUCACUUCAAACUUUUUAUAAUUAUUAAGAAAAUUACACUUAUAAGAGUGUAUUAUGAGAUUUUAGAAGUACUAAUAACAGUUUCCUAUUUGAUUGUAACAAAUAUUAUCCAAAUACACAGUCCUACUCUAUUAUCUUCUUCAGAUGCCCAUAUGUCUGCAACCCGUGACUAUGCCCGUUGUGAAAGUAUAUAAAGUAUUAAUAGAGAGGAUGAUUAGAAAUGCUCCAACAAUACGUAACAAAAAGUAUUAAAAAUUCCCGUAAAUAUAACAGCGCAAGGCACACAAAGUUUUAAGUUGUAAGAGAAUAUGACUUCUAAAGAUCUAAUGAUAUUUCUUUUUACUUGUAAAUAAAAAAUUUUAGAUUUACACGUGUGGAUGACAAGUUUAAUAUCCAUUUAUCUUCCACAUCCCUUAAUAUAAAAAUAUAUCUUUGUUUUUAAAAAAAUGAUGUGUGAUCUCUAGAGAACUAAUUGGUAAGCACAAGAAAAAAUUGUGGUUAGUCCACCUCGUGGAGUAAUUGGCCAUUUCUUAUUCAAUUUCCAGAUGGUCUUUUCUUGAUUACAUUACAAAUUUUCCUUGUACAAAAGUAAUGGUUCCCACGUCCACGAUGAAUAAAACCCAUUAAACAAUUAGGAGCUUGCGUAUACCUUUUGAUCCACCUUCUGCCUCAGCCUAUAAAUACCAAUACAUCCUCCUCACUUCUUCACAACUCAAAAUCUCCCAAUACAUCAUCUUUCUUUCUUAGUCUUCCUCUUCGUCGGUUAUUUUCCCACUUCACAAACACAUCUCAGAAUCAUGGGAGUUUUCACAUACAAAUCCGAGUUCACCUCCGUCAUCCCCCCCGCUAGGUUGUACAAUGCCUUUGUUCUUGAUGCUGACAACCUCAUCCCCAAGAUUGCACCACAUGCAGUGAAGAGCACUGAGAUCCUUGAAGGAGAUGGCGGAGUUGGAACCAUUAAGAAGAUCAACUUCGGUGAAGGUAGCACAUACAACUAUGUCAAGCACAGAAUCGAUGGAGUUGACAAGGACAACUUUGUGUAUAAAUACAGUGUGAUUGAGGGAGAUGCUAUCUCCGAAACAAUUGAGAAAAUUUGUUACGAGACUAAGUUGGUGGCUUCCGGUAGCGGUUGCGUCAUCAAGAGCACUAGCCACUAUCACACCAAGGGAGAUGUUGAGAUCAAGGAAGAGCAUGUUAAGGCUGGCAAAGAGAAGGCCUCCCACCUCUUCAAGCUGAUUGAGAACUACCUCUUGGAGCACCAGGAUGCCUACAACUAAACAUUGUCUGCUGCUGCAUUCAUGUGUUAUUCAAUCUCGUGUCAUCUUUUCCAUCAAAUAUUGGUGUGGUUUUAAUCCAUUUUUAUAUAUAUUUUUCCCUUCUAAAACAGUGUGUGGCUUGUACGUGAUUGAAGGUUUUGAUUGCAGAGUGAAUGUUGUAUUUAAACUAAAAAUUAAUGGAUCUGAUUAUUCCUGCAAGGUUUUUAUUUUAUUUUUAUUUUUUUAAUGCAAAUUUGUAGUUACUAAUGUUAAGUUCCAGUUUCCUAACUACUUUACUUAACAUAUGAGAAGCGACAUUUCAAUUACCAGCAACUCAUAAUAAUUGAAUAACAUUUGAAUCUCUCCCUCAUAAUAGCCUAAAGUGAUGAAAUGAAAACCCUGAUUUCGUUUUCCUUGUAAACCAUUUUGUAAUUCAUACCAUAAAUACGCUCAUGGGUUAGAAAUAAUAUGGUUCAAAUUCGCAUUUGAGCGAAAAUUGAACAUAAGACAUCUCACUUACAAGUGAAGAUGAACAACACUAGACCAUAAUACUAAGUGACAUUUAUUGUAUUUUUAGUUUGCCUAUAUUACUCUUAGGUACAUGAUUUUAAGGGUUCAAACAUAAAAAUAAAAAAAUUGAAAAGCAUUAGGUUUUGCAAAUCAUAAUUAAUGUUUGAUGCCUAACGAAUCAAUAAUGCAAAAUUAUCGAACCUAAUGGACUAAAACAUAAAAAUUACAAACCACUCAAAAUUGACCAUCUCAAAUUUACCAAACCUAAUGAACUAAAACAAGAAAAAUAAAAACCGUACCAAAUCUACCGGACCUAAUGAAUUAAAAUAUAAAAAAUACAAAUCAUACCAAAUUGAUCGUACCGAAUAUACCAGGCCUAAUGACCUAAAAUAUAAAGCAUAUGAAUCGUACUAAAUUGAUCGUACUGAAUAUAUGGGACCUAAACAAUAUAACGUACCUAAUUGAAAUCACAUAAUCAAAAUUUUGGAAACUUCAGACGUAAACUAGUACCUAAUUUUUAACAAAAACUAACAACGUCCUAACAAUGAGAAUUUGUUCCCCACAUAGGCCUUCAUAACACAUGGUAUGCGGAGUAAUCAUGUUUCUGCAACAAAUGGUUUAAAUUAGUGCAUUCUCUCCACACAAUAUCAUUAUGAGAGCUUUCAAAAGUAUGGCAAUGGAACUGGUUAUAAAAUAUAGACAAAAAAGAUGAUAUCUUGUAGAAAAUGAAGAUGGAUGUUAUGUUUUAUGGGUGAUAGUGAAUUACGGGUUACAUUUUUCAAAGGUGGUUAUGUUGGAAUGAACGUGCAUAUGAAAGAUGUUGUAAAUAAUAUGUGUAUGUUUUAUAAGUGUCAUUUUUUUGAUUAUAAAGCCCAUAUUUUACAUAGUUGUAAUAGUAAAAAAUCCGAUCCUUAUUCUAAAACAAUAUUGUAUAAUAUACUGUUCAAUAUAUAUAGCAUGUUCAUGCACACAAAUUGAUAUGCCCAAAUUUUAAAUAUGCAAGUUAUGUUAUAACAUGCUACAUUGUUAUGUUGAAUUGUGUGAGUCAAAGAAAAAAAAAAUAGAAACACGAACUAGGGUUUACAAACCUAAAUCACAAAAAACGAAGAAGAGAAAAUCGCAGUUGAGCCACGGCCUGAAGCUGCCCGUGCCACCUGCGGAACUAAAUGCUGCAAAACCGGCACCUUGCACCCACUUGCUGACGGCAACAGUUUGGGCUUCUCCCUGCCAGGGCUGCUGGUUGACACCUCACUCGGGUCCACCCAGCUUUGCUGGGCUCCUGCUGCUGCUUGGCUGCCUUCAUCUCGGCUCAAGCUCCAAACUGAUAACAUUCGAGAUUAUACAAAAUUAUACACAAAGGAUCAUUUUUUGGCUUUCUCUUUAGUCCUAUGUCUCUUAUACAUAAAGUGAGUUACAAACUCACUCUCAAUGUUACAUGUUUGGGGUUUGUCCACGCCCCCUUGUGUGAAUAAACUGCUUUUCAAAAUCUUAGUGAAGAUUUGGAUUUGCUAGUCAUGUUUGUUUUUUUGUGAAAUAAAUACCAAUUGAAGCGGACGGUUUCUUCAACAACAAAUGAGAUGGGUCCAACUACUCAUAUAUAAUGAAAUUGAGCAUGUUUCCCAUCUCUCCUCGAGAAAAAAAGGUGGGCUAUGCAAAAUUGUGCUCAAUUUCAUAUGCGCCAAUUCCGCAAGAUCUCUUCUUAGUUGGGGGAAGAAUCCGCAUGAAUCGGAUUUUUGAAACAUAUCAAGAAAGAAUUGGUUAGACAAUGUGAUCAUAUCUUCUUAGGGCUUUUUGGAUGUAUAAUGCAAUUUCAAUAGUAAUGCAGUAAUGUUUGGGUUAGAAUCAGCGGAUCAAGGAGUGGUAACUCAAUCACGGGGGAAACUUAGGGCCUCCUUUUUUCACUGCAAAGCACAGCAUGGGUGUUCCAUUUCUCGGGCCAAGCCAAAUUUCGGAUGUUCUGCUUCGAGCCUGGAACAAACUAUUGGGGUCCCUGCUAACCCCAAUUUUGUUUGGCCCGCAACCAUUCAACCCAAUAGCCCUAACAUCUAUGAAAAUGAAUAAUCUAAAAAGAAUUAGAUCAUUGUUCUCUGAUAAAGUAAGAAUGUUGUUUGUUCCAUUUAUUGAGAAUUCAAAUCAAAUACAAUCUUACUUGAAUCAUAACUCAAAUUGCAACCAAAAUCUGCUUCUGCUAUGAGUCAAAGAAAAGAAUUAUGGAAAGCCACCGCAAAGUAUACAGAGAGAAGAGAGGUAGGGAUGUAGUGUGAAAGGAUGGAUUAAUUUGGAGUUUGACUUCCCAGUGGUUUUUCAAUUUGUACUUUAGCAAAGAAAGCAGCUAGAAUGAUUAUUGAAAAUUAACUUCUAAAUAGCUUGUUGCUAAUGUGGAAUGGGAGUUUUUGUUUAAUGAAAUGGACUUUUUGCAUAUUAUAGGGCUGUUUGUGAAAGCCUGAAAAAUUGAUAAACAACCAAUCGAGUUAGGUAAUUUUCGUUAUAUAUGGUUCGUUUUUCUAUGGCCACAAGUUUUAGUUCCAUUAUGAUACAUGGCAUGCCAGUUAUGUUCUCAUUUAUCACACCAAGUAUGAAUGCACUAAUGUAGUUCUUGUAUGUUCUAUUUCCAAAGUAUUUUCCAUCUACUAAAGGUAAUGGUCUCACUUAACUCUUUUAUUGCAGACAGUAUUUUCAAUAACAGAAACUUUUAUCAAUUUUAGAAAUGAAAUAAUAACUGCCAAUAUUUUCUUGGCUUGGAGAUAGUUAAAGAUAAGAAAAAAGAAGGACAUUAAAUAAAUCUCUUAACCUACACGAGCCUUUUCUUCAAGUUCUUACUCUUGGCAGAACUUCAGUCUUUCACUAUUUAUAUUUUCAAAAGAUUUACAAGUAGUUUGCUCAAAAGAAUUGAUGCAAAUUUAAGUUUGGGCCCACCGUCACUUGAUUAUUCCUUUCAAGACGUAAAAAAAAAAAAAAAAAAAAAAAACUUAUCUUUUGACUAAAAUGGGUAUUUGACGUCACAUUAAAAUUGCUCAAGAAACUGAACCGAUAUUAAAACACCCCACCUCCGGAGGGGAGGAGAAAUUCAAAUUACUUCUUUUUUUAUUCAAAAGAAGCUCAAAAACUUUGGCCCAACCAACUUGAAAAGUGCUGAUCGUGGCUGCCCCAUGCAAGUUACAAAAAUUUGACCAGACUUUCAUAAUAUUUGAAGAGUAUUACAAAAAUAUUAAUAUUUUUUAAUUUUAAUUUCCAAUUGGAACGUCCCUAUUACUUUUCCUCAAAACGAAAAGCAAAAACCAAAAAACAAACCACCAUAUGAACAAGUUCUAAUUUAGUUGUAGGCAUCAGGGGUUGGCCAUUAUGAAAGCGAUCAAAGAGUUCUAAGGAAAUAUGAAGAAAAUUGUUUUUCUACAAUAUUCAGGUUUUGACUUGGAGUGAAGUGGAAUGCUGUAGGUGCUAUAUAUAGACCACAACAAUUGAGAGUCUGACCUGAUGUGAACAGCAAUGCCUCUAGAUCAUCAACCAAUUUAUGCAAGUUGGUACUGUACAAUUCUAUUGUUGUCCCUGCUGCCUCACGACCAGUAUAUGCACUUCCAGAAGUUCAAUUUAGGAAUGACUUGACCUGCAAUUCAACAUUGGCUGCAAUGCGUCGACUUUUAAUUGGCCGUCAUUUGGCUUUUCACAUCUCCAAACUGGAAUAUUCAAUUGUAACAAAUAUUAUCCAAAUACAGAGUCCUAUUCUAUUAUCUUCUUCAGAUGCCCUUUUAUGUUUAGGGAUGGUAUUGGGACGAUUACCGUAUCAAAAUUCAUUUAUUAAUUAUCAUACCAAAUUUUUAGUAUGACAAAAUCUAUUACCAUUACCUUGCUAAACUUUUGGUAUAUUGAAUUUCGGCAUGUCAAAUAGUUUAGUUGACAUAGUAUGGUAAUGGUAAUUACCAAUUUGUUUUGGGCCGUUCUUUUGGGCCAAAAUUUGAAUUUUUUUCCAACCUAAUUCAAGGCCAAAACAUGUUUUGGCCACUCCCUUUGGGUUUCUAGAACUUUUUUAUUUAAUUUUGAGAAUUUUAUAGAGAUUCAUUAAAUAGAUGGAAGAAUUGCUGAAAGAACCCAAUAUCCCUAAAAAAAUAGUACAAUGAUUCCUAAAUUCCAUCUCUACAUUCUUUAAAAUUGUAUAAAAUUAACUUGAUAGAUGAGGCCAGGGAGAAAGACAUCUCAAUUUGAUGAAGGAGGAGAUGAGAUGGACUUUGGAGAGAGAGUCGCGGAACUGGAGCAACAGAGAUGAAGUCGGUGGCUAGAUGAGUGAAAAGAUGAAGAGUCGCAGCGCAAGAAAGCUUAGAUUUUUUUUAUUGGGAAAGUAGAGGUUAGAUGGUGAGAUGAUUGGAUAAAUGAUUAGGAAAAAAAUAUAAAGUGCACAUAUAAUGAUAAUAAUACCGAAUUAUAUAUAAAUGAAUAAAUAAAUGAUAUAAUUAUUAUAAUAUUAAUAGUAGUGGUACGGUAUGGUAUACCAUUGAUAUUAGUUUUGAAUAUCAUUACCGUACCAAAAUGUAUGGUACAGUACAAAUACCGUACCAUACCAAUGAUACAAUUUUUUUUGCACAACUUUGGUAUGAUACGGUUAAUAUGGUAAUUUAGUAAAAAAUUCCAUCCUUAUGUCUGCAGCCCGUGACUAUGCUCGUUGUGAAUGUCCAAAAAGUAUUAAUAGAGAAUAUGAUUAUACUCCAAUAAUAUGUCAACAAAAAUUGAAUUAUUGAAAAGUCCAGUAAAUAUAACAGCGAAAGACACAAAGUGUUAAGUUGGGAGGGAAUAUGACCUCCAAAACAUUAAUUACUUAGUAUUAUGGUGCAAUGAUAUUCUUAUUUACUUGUACAUAAGAGAUAUUAGGUUCGAACAUUUGGAUGCAAGUUCAACACCAAUUUAUUUUGAGAGAUUAUAUUUACACAUCCCAAAUUACUUCUCCCACAUCCAUUUAAUUUUUUAAUAUUUUCUACACACCACUAACAUUUAAUAGAAAAAAUAUAUCUUUAAAAAAAUGAUGUGUGUGAUCUCUAAAGCACUAAUUGGUAAGCACAAGAAAAAAUUGAGGUUAGUCCACCUCGUGGAGUAAUUGGCCAUUUCUUAUUCAAUUUCCAGAUUGUCCUUUCCUUGAUUACAUUACAAAAUUUCCUUGUACAAAAGUAAUGGUUCCCACGUCCAUGAUGAAUAAAACCCAUUAAACAAUUAGGAGCUUGCGUAAACCUUUUGAUCCACUGCCUCAGCCUAUAAAUACCAAUACAUCCUCCUCACUUCUUCACAACUCAAAAUCUCCCAAUACAUCAUCUUUUUAUCUAAGUCUUCCUCUUCGUCGAUUAUUUUCCCACUUCACAAACACAUCUUAGAAUCAUGGGUGUUUUCACAUACGAAUCCGAGUUCACCUCCGUCAUCCCCCCCGCUAGGUUGUACAAUGCCUUUGUUCUUGAUGCUGACAACCUUAUCCCCAAGAUUGCACCUCAGGCAGUGAAGAGCACUGAGAUCCUUGAAGGAGAUGGUGGAGUUGGAACCAUUAAGAAGAUCAACUUCGGUGAAGGUAGCACAUACAACUAUGUCAAGCACAGAAUCGAUGGAGUUGACAAGGACAACUUUGUGUACAAGUACAGUGUGAUUGAGGGAGAUGCUAUCUCCGAAACAAUUGAGAAAAUCUGUUACGAGACUAAGUUGGUGGCUUCCGGCAGCGGUUGCAUCAUCAAGAGCACCAGCCACUAUCACACCAAGGGAGAUGUUGAGAUCAAGGAAGAGCAUGUUAAGGCUGGCAAAGAGAAGGCCUCCCACCUCUUCAAGCUGAUUGAGAACUACCUCUUGGAGCACCAGGAUGCCUACAACUAAACAUUGUCUGGUGCUGCAUUCAUGUGUUAUUCAGUCUCGUGUCAUCUUUGCCGUCAAAUAUUAGUGUGGUUUUAAUCCGUUUUAUAUAUUUUCUUCCCUUCCAAAACAGUGUUUGGCUAGUACGUAAUUGAAGGUUUUGAUUGAAGAGUGAAUGUUGUAUUUCCUUUCAUUUGCAAUAAACUCAAAAUUAAUGGACCUGAUUAUUCCUGCAAGUCUUUCUUAAUGCAAGUUUGUACUUGCUAAUGUUAUGUUCCACUUUCCUAACUACUUUAGUUUACUGAACACAUGAGAAGCGACAUUUCAAUUACCCGCAAAUCAUAAUAAUUGAAUAACAUUUGAAUCUCUACCACAUAUAGCGUAAAGUGAUGAAAGGAAAUCUCUGAUUUCGUUUUCCUUGUAAACCAUUUGGUAAUUCAUACCAUAAAUAACCCCAUGAGUUAACACACCCAUGAUGACGAUUUUAAGAGCUUGUCUUUCCUCAUCCUUAUGUGGCAUGACUCACCUCCAUCCGCGGUUCUUGCUUCUUGCAUUCGAAUUUUCUUAGCUUAUUUGAUUUCUGAUUUUUAAAUUAGUGUGCCUCACGCCAUAUAUGUUAGGAUCGUACAAGUUCAUCAAACCAAUUCGCUAAUUUUAUCAAAUAUGGAUCGUACAAGUUCAACUCACAAUUCAUCAAAUAUAUGCACAUGACUUACACGAGUCUAUAGACCAUUUCCCUCUAAUUCAAUAAAGUCACUAUGAAGUAUAAAAUGAACCUUUCAUGUGCGAAGUUUACCGGACAACAAAGGAAGGUCCGUAGUCCUAAAAAGACUCGCAAUAAGGAAUCAACAGUUGGCUACUACUGCAAAAGCUCAUUGUAAAGGCAUUGUAGGCAGAAGGGAAGCAAGGAGAUUUUGACUGAAUAAUUAGUUCAACAAUUUGGUGGGUGAGAAUAUGAAGGUAAAGUCUCGUAUCGGUGAUUGGACCAAAUUUUGUUGUGGUUACAAGAAGUUGAGCUAUUUUUUAUAUUGUCAAUUAGUUUUAUGGUAAAAUCUAAACUUUCUUAAUGAUAUCAGAGCAAGUUGUUUCACAUGUAAAGCCUAACGGCCAAACAUGUGCCCCAUGCUUAAUUUGUAUUGCCCAUGUGUUAGACUUUAAAAUUCGCCAGAUGCGAAGAAGUGUGCUAUAAUAGUAGGACAAAAUCUUAUAACCGUAAAAAACCAAACCUUACAAGGGCUUAGAAUAAGUUUAUUUUAUUUUAUUUUUAUUUUUAAGUAACGAUGGCAUUCAUUGAUAGGAGCCCAAACAGCUCAGAGGUAGUACAUCAAAGAUUACAAGCAGAUAGAAAGACCAUUUACAAGCAAUCCUGGACCAGAAGAUCCAAAAUAAAGUUUGGUGGGGUAAUAACCAUUCGCAAUGGGUUCCAAUUGACAAGCUAAACUGAGCAAGUUGAUGGGCAACACCGUUGGCUUGGUGACGAAUAUGGGAACACAAAUAUUUAGUGAUUGUGGGAAGAAAAGCCUUUGUAUCUUCCACUAAAUGCCUGAUUGAUGAACAGUUAGGAAAUCAUUUGCUAGUGCUCUCAGAAUCUGAAGAGAAUCACCUUCGAUUACUAGAUUUUUAAAACCCCUUGUCACCGCCCAAACCACACACUCCCUAGCUGCCAAGGCUUCCGCGCGCAUGGAGAGGGGAUGACACAUUUGGAAAAUUCAGGCAAGCAGCCGCCACGAAAAAUCCCAGUGUCGUCUCUUACAAUGAUACUCACACCCCCCAAAAGGUUUCCCCACGCCAAGCACCAUCAAAAUUGAGUUUCAAACGCCUUGAGGGUGGCGUUGUCCAUUUGGGAGGACCAGGAUUUUGGCCAGGGGCCUGAGCAAGGGGGUGUUUUCCGACACAAAUUGUUGCCACCAUGAGAGGACCUUAGUCACCAUUAAAUCUGGAGAAUCACAGCGGUCAUUCCAAAGCUUGUAGUUGCGGGAGUUCCAAAUAUCCCAACAAAUCAUCAUGAAGACUUCCAACGUAUUUAAGGGGGUAGGUUAGAAAGAAGGUCCAACACCCAAGCUUUGAAGGACGGUGAAUCCUGGAGGUUGGUAAGGGCCCAAGAGGGGAGAACAACCAAGCACAUCGAGCAUAGUGACAAUCCUUAAUAAGGUGGGACACUUACUCCACAAAGGAGUUGCAUAGUACGCACAAUAGAUCCGUCGUAAUAUGUUUCAAGCCCAAAUUUCUCCUUGUGGGGAGAGAUUCAGUGCACAAACGCCAAAAGGAGACACGCACCUUUGGGGUAACAUUUGCGUGCCAAACUUCGGACCACAAUUCGGAAAAAGGAUAUGGGGAUGAAGAAGAUGAACCAUGUUGAGCACUCAGCCGAACCCAUUCCCUCGUGACGUGGUACGCCGUUUUCACCGAAAAAAUGGCCUUUUUCUCAUGGUGCCAAAUGAACUGAUCAGCCACAUCACGUAGACUCAGAGGAAUAGAGCGAAUAAGGUCAACCUCCACCGGGGAAAGGAAAGAAUUGAGAAGAUCCACCCUCCAUGUUUUGGACACGGGCUCAAUCCAAUCUGCUACAAAUUUCAGACUACAAUUAGCCGGCCUUGGGGAGAAAAUCCGAAACAUGGAUGAUGGGAGGGAAAUUCAGGGGUCUUCCCAUAAUUUUACCGAUUUUUCAUUCCCAAUUAGCCAUCGCAAACCCCGAGAUUACACAUCUCUCGCAUUGCAAAUGCUCAUCCAGCAGAAGGAUGAGUUAGCUACUCCUCGUAUCAACUUCCUUCACAGUCAACGUCUUAGUAAACUAAUUUGUACUGGUAAAUGCAUAACGGUGGAAAUGUCGAAGGCUAUCUGUCCUUUUUUCUUUUACUUAUGUAUAUUUUUAAAAAUUACUUGUUUUCUCAUUUUCUAUUAAUUAUUGCUUUCUGUAAUUUUUCUUGAUUUUAUUAAUUGUCAAUUCACGUAAAUUCAAAUACUCGCACACCUUUUACUUGAUUAAAGACUAAUCGCAGAGUCUAGCUACUCCAAAGGCUAAAUAUCAUCGAAUAAUUUACAUAUAAGUAGUAUAUGUAUUAUUUAUUUAGAUUAAAAUUAAAUACAGUAUUGCUCUUUAAUCAUAUCCGAACUGCAAGUCAGAGAAUUGCUUUGGUAUGAUGAAAAUUUGAAAACCACACACUUGAAUAAACAGAGAAAACAAGACACAAGUUUGUUGCCAAAUAGAUGGUUUUAGUUGUAGGCAUCAGGAUUGGCCAGAAGGUGGCUCUCAAUAAGCUUGAAUAGACCAAGGGCCUUGUCUUUGCCAGCCUUAACAUGUUCUUCUUUGAUCUCAACAUCUCCCUUAGUGUGGUAAUGGCUAAUGUUCUUGAUACUAGAACCAGUGCCAGAUGCCACCAACUUAAUCUCAUAAGAGAUUUUCUCAAGUUUGUCAGAAAUGACAUCUCCUUCAAUCAAACUGUAGCUAUACACAAAGUUAUCUUUGUCAAUUCCCUCAACCUUGUGCUUUAUAUAGUUGUAUUCACUCCCUGUCAAAUGGAAAAAUAAGUUAGAAAUUAAGAUACUAGCUAGUGUUUUUGAUAUAUAUAUUAAAUAGAUAAAAUUAACAAGUCAAUGGAGAAGAUGAUGAAAAUUAAACAAACCUUCACCAAAACUAACUUUCUUGAUGGUUCCAACACCGCCAUCCCCCUCAAGAAUUUCAACAGUUUUGAUUGCUUGUGGAGCAAUCUUCGGGAUAAGGUUGUCAAUAUCAAGAAAAAGGGCAUUGAACAACCUAGCAGGGGGGAUGACUGAGGUGUAUUCGGUUUCGUAUGUGAAAACACCCAUGAUGAUGACUUUUAAGAGCUUAGAAAAUGAGCAAGGAAAUUAAGAAUGAAAGAAGGAAGCAAAGAGGAUGAUUGAUGUUGAUGUGAGAAAAUUUUAUCACCAGAGGGUAGUAUUUAUAGAUUUGGGAUGGAGGGUACGUGUACAGUAACCCCCUAUAUGUAAAGGAUUUCGGACAAAAUUUGAAGUUUACAAUGGAGGUUUUCCAUGUGAAAUGAAAAUGAAAUAUAAUUUUCAAUUGCAUGCAUAAAAUAUGUUAUUUAGUUUUACAGUCGAGUAAUAUUCUUCUUCACUUAUAAGUGAGAGGUUUUAGGUUCAAUUUUCGCCAAAAGCAAAUUUCGACCACAUUAUUGCUAAGCCUACCUCAUUCCCUUAGUGUAGAUAAUAUGGUUUGUUAAAAAAAAAGUUAAUUACAUGCAUAAAAUAUAAAACAAAAAAUGCAUAAAUGUAUUAAGUCAAAGAAAGCCACAAAUAUAAUUUAUAGAAUCAAUGCAUAAAUGCAUAAUUGUCCAAAAUCAAACUCAAUAUUAUCGUCAUUUCCAACAGGUAGAAUAAUAGUGAAUACACUUGGAUUUUCUUGAUGAUCAUACAAUCGAUAUCAACUAUAUAUUAACUAACAACACCAAUUAAUUCAUGGUUAAUCAUACAAGAAAAGGAAGAAGAUGCAAGUAUUUAACUUCGACAUAAAAGACAACCUUAAAUGUCGGUGGGCUGUUUGAUCAUGACAUGUUUACAAAUCAUAAUUUGGAUAAUACAAUAAUAAGCGGAGAGAAAGGCAGUACAAGUAGGGAGAAAGACUACACACAAAUCUCAUGAUCAGUUGGUAUAAUAUACGGUGCAGCAUACAAAAACGCCGUCUUGAAAGAAUAAGAUUUAUGUCCUCGUAAUUCUAAGGGUAUUUCUGUAAAAAGAAAAUAAACAUUUUAUUUUUUGAUCAAUUUUCAAUGGCACGAAUUCCCUGAUUUAGUAGAUUAAGAGGAAGGGAUCCGGAGAUAAUCUUUUUCCUUUAUAUUUUAGAUACUAACAGAAAAAAAAAACUAAAUAAGAAAAAAAAAUGUGUUCCUUAGUAUUACGGUAUAAUGAUAUUCUUCUUUAUUUGUAAGUGAGAUGUAUUAAGUUCGAUUAUCACCAAAAGCAAACUUGAACCACAUUAUUCAUAUGGUUAACUCAUUGUGGGGUUUAGUUCACUUCUCAACCCUGUGUAGAUAAUAUGUUUGUUCAAAAAAGAAGAACAAAGAAAAACAAAAAAGCUGAAGCCACAUUGUGCGACACAAAAAGUGCCAGAAAAAAAUGAAUCCUCAGCGUGAGAAAAGAGAACGAAAACGCACGAUGUGAUCGUUCCAUAGAGAAAAAAAAUGAUCGUGCUGCUCCACUGGAGUCUGGGACCUUGCGUAUAACUGUAUUCUUCUUCCUCCUUAUGUAGUGUUGACCCUAAAAACUACCAAGCCUACGUGGCACGCAGGCCGAGUAAUCUAUAAGCUAACUACGUCCUUCGAUGAAUGCGGGGCGUGCCAACUCGUCGGCCAAGCUCGACCGAGGAGUAAAUUUGUUGAUGAUGCGUUGGGUGCGCGGCUGACUUCUGCGUCUUGCGAUUGCGACCGAGGAAGGAACACGUCUCGGCCUCUUGGGUUCUCGAACCUGAAGACAAGGCUACUAUUUUUACGAAGUUCACGAAUCGUCAUCGUCGGAUUCAGUCACAGUGAUGUUAUUCAUCAGAGUAAACUCACACCGAAUCAACACCAAAGUGUAAGGGUACAAAUACUUAAAGCGAAUAUAAGUCUUAAUAGUGAACGUGGUUCGGCCGUCUGAAUGCUGAACUCUAAAUCCCACUUGAGAGUAUCCAAUCAUAAAAUAACUCGGCGUGCAAUGCGCCGAGCUCAGUAAACUGUAACACCUCACUUCGCCGAGAAGGCUAAUGAGAUGACCUCAAUCAAUAAGGAUUCAGAAAUCCUUCUCGACCGAGACUUGGAUAGGUAACCAACCGUCCUCGCCGCAGUGCUGUUGAUGCCAACGAAAGAUGCUGCGAGAUCGGCUCGAGUAAAGUUUACUUGAUCGCCGAGAAGGCUAAUUCCCUGGAGUAGAAUAAUAAGAGUUCAGAAAGAUUAACCUUUUCUUUAUAUUUUCCUACUAACUGGUUUGAUCCCCACGAAAGAUGCGCGAGGACGGUAUACAUAUAUUCUUCUUUAAUUUGUAAGUGAGAUGUAGUUCGAUUAUCACCAAAAAGGCAGAACUUGAAACCACAUUAUCAUAUGGUUACCAUUGUGGGGUUUAAGUUUUCACUGUGUCAACCCUUGUGUAGAUAUAUAUAAUAUGUUUGUUUCAAAAAAGAAGAACAAAAAGAAAAAAACAAAAAAGUGGAAGCCACCAUUGUGCGACACAAAAAAGUGCCAGAAAAAAAUGUAAUCGUGCUCAGCGUGGAUGUUCAAAUGAUUAGCGAGGAACGAAAAACGCACCGAUGUGAUCGCUCGUCUGGUGCACUAGAAACCCAAAAACAUGAUUGCAAUGCUGCUCCACUGCGGAGUCUGGGGAACCUUGCGUAUAUGACCAGUAUUCUUCCUCCUUUUAUCGUAGCACACCCAAAAACUACAACGUCACCCCUACGUGGUCACGCAGGCCUUGGGUAAAUCUAUAAGCUAAGCUCGGCAUUUACGACGCCAUUCACCUCUCGUCCAUGGAGGUCAUCCUGGACAAGGAGUCCUCCUAGCGGCCUUAUGUUUUGGUGCGGGCCACCAACACCAUGGUCCUCCUCGGUGGGCCCCCCUUUCCACCAUCUUAGGGAUUUCUCUGGCCUUUAGCUCCCCCGAGGAUAAAUUUGUGACGAAUGCGUGGGUGCGCGGCUGCUUUUGCGCGUUCUUGCUGAUUUGCGAACCGAGGAAACAAGGGAGAACAACUGUCUGGCCUGCCUUGGGCCCUUCCGGUCGGAACCAGAAAGACAAGCUACUUUUUACAGAAGUUCACCAAUGGCGUCAUCGUCGGACUUCGAUCCCGACAGGAGUUUUCUCAGAAGGCUUUUACACCAAUCAACACAAAGUGAAGAAAUGAUUAGAUACUUUUUCGCUCUUCGAUGAACUUUGGAACAGUCUGAAUGCAUCGUCGGAAAUACUUGGACGAGUAGACAAUCAUAAGAUGCCGGCGCUUGCAAUGCGCCGAGCUCAGUAAGUAAAUCUGUACACCUCAUUCCGCCGAGAGGCAAUGAGAUGGACCUCAAUAAAAGGAGUUUCAAAUCCUUCAAACUCGACCGAGACUUGGAUACGGUAACACCGUCUCGCCGCAGUUGUAAAAAUUGGAUUCCCCCAACGACUGCGGCUUCAGCUCUGAUUUCCUUUUACUUUCCAGCAGGUCGGCCAUUGAAAAAGUGGAAAGUUUGCGUCAAUUUUGUCCUCGGCGCGGCUGAAUGAAAAAAUUCGGUUGUUUUUCCGAAAGAGAGCUAGACCGAUUGUGCAGGCCGUAACUGAGCAAGAGGGGCCUCCCGUAAGAUUUGCGCCGGUCUCCAGCGAAUUCCUCGACCAGCGAUCGAGUCACAUGAAAAAGCCUGCGCGAAGGAUACAGGGAAUACCGAAGAAGACUUCACAUUAUCUCCAGUCAAAACUACGGGGCGACGACUCCCAGGUGUUCCCCUUCUCCCCCAUCGUCCGCAAGCAUUCUGGUCCGGAGGAAAGCGGUCCGUUCCUGGCCCGACACGAAAUAGUCCAAAGUAAAAAGGCUCUGUUUCUUUAAAGUGGGACGGUCAAACUUACCUUGUUGUUCCAUCGUCUAGGCUGCUCACCCGUUUCAAAGAUGGCAGUCCUUUGUGGUACCGAAGGAACUUAUCUGAAAAUUCCAAAAACCCUUGCAUUCGUUCAUAAGAGAGCACACAAGAGCGACGAGGUUUCACUGCGAGGCUUUCCUCUUCAAUUCUUUACAACAAAUUUAGUCGUGUUGACCUGCGGAGAGUGAAGUGGGUGGAGCCUUCCCGCUCGCCUCAAUAUUGUUUGGAAGCAACUUUGACCUUCGAAGUUCCCCCCAACGGCUUUCCUUGGAUGCGUCUCGCCUACAACUCGACAGCUGAUACUAAAUGCCCUCCACGAAGCUGAAGAAUGAUGUUUAGAAGCGGGAGGCUUGGUUGGAUGACACCUUCUAAUGAUAAGGUUCUUGAGUCUGCCAUCGUCAAGGAUUUGUCUGCCAAGACUCUAAGCGGGGCGCUAAAAAUGCCUUCAUUCUGAUUCCUAAAAUUAUCGCCGAAGGGUGAUAUCAGGGUUGAAGCCGCCUCGCGUGGCCAAUCAAGAUAACCCCAUGACUCCGAACUGACGUCUUUAAGCACUUAGGCUUCGGACUAGUUUUUUUGUUCCAGAGCAGCGAUUUGCGCAUCCGAGCCUCCUGCCGACAUUUGAAAUAACCUUUUGCCAUUUCGCCGCAUUCUUGAGCAAACCGAAGCUUUCAGGCGGCCAUCAUACCAACGAGCAAGUGAUUGCAAGACCUCUGGAGCCCUAAGAUUUAAUGGCCCUUCGACCUCUAAACGACCCGCCGAUUAAUUGCUCUUUUCGGUGCACAUUUGGUGACUCUGCCGAGUCGUGCGUAAAGGCCUCGUUAUGGUCUUUCAAGACCUCGAUGUGAAUGACGCCAAACUCGUUCUGGGUGUCGGGUUAAGCUUUUGUCUCUUCUUGCGGUCCAGUCCUUGAAUGUAAAGAUCUUAUCCUUUCCUAACGACCUCGACGAGAUGGAAAAUGAAGCCAGUUCUGCCUCCUUCGACCGGUGAAUAGCAUGGGCUGGUGAAUUGAAAGGUUUCUAUUUCUUUCCGAGAUUAAUGGACUUCGAGUGGGCGGUAGAAAUUGUCUUAAUGACAAAGUCGCGAGCGCAAACGAAUCUUCGUUAGAGAUACAACUGAGAACGAGCACUGAGGUUAAGAUGGUGGAAGGAGCUUUAAGGCUUUUCUCGGCCACUCUUCUUCCUUCGGCUUUCCCUUCACGCCCUGAACACGCCAAACUCCAAUUUGUGUAUUUUCUACCGAUCUUAAUGAAAAUGAUUUCUCUUUUUUCCCAUGGAGACGGAUAAUACUUUCUUUCAAAAACUUUCUUGAACUGGCAAUUUUGUUCUUUUGCCCCUUCCGAGGACCUUUGCGUUAUGAGACUUUGUUAUGCAUUGUCCUAACCGUUUAAUCCUACAGGCGAACCUUUUGGUUUAACUACACGCCAAAUGCCAAAAUUUUUUGAUUGUAGGUCGGAGCGUCUUUUUGUCAAGCCUUUCGUCAGAAGUAUUUCUUUUGCUCUUCUAAGUCGCUGAACUUGUCCAAAUUGAGCUAACAGAACUACUCUGGUUUAUGUUUCGAACGAAUUAUGCGAUUAGCUCGACUGGUAAACUGCGUACGUCGUCUGUAGGUUAGUGCAUACGGGGUUUGCCCAGUCCACGAUCGAGCGAUGUUCGAUAUGCCCAUAUUAAGCCUCAUUUAAAAUCGGCCAUGGUAUUGUGACCGGAAAUGUCGAUUUGACUCGGCCUGGGACCCGUUUGUAUUUCUUAGGACCUCAUUGAAUUGACACUGUAUGCGUGCCACCCGGUGCGAAACUCUAUUACAAUCAUUUAAUAGUUCUUGGACCAAAUAAUACCUGUGUCGUCGAAGGCAACACCGCAUUUGUCCGAUGAGCAACCACCGUAAACCCUUUCUCCGGUGGACUUCUGUGAUUGCUUGAGCGCUCUUGAGGGGCGAGGCAGCAGAAUAUUAGACCUUUCACCCUUUUCGGUAUAAAACUCGUUUUUGGAUUUUUUUUUUUUUUGCCGACUUGUUUUGCCAUUGGGUUGUCAAAUACUGCAUAAUGGGCUUUCUCCAAUCAUUUGGUAUUGCCUCGACCCCACAAACAUCUAUAAGGUCUUGUCGGUCUAACAAUGAAGGUAAGGACAUGACUCUGGUGCGUAUCACGUUGUCACGUCGGAGGACUUGCUAGUUAACCAAGGCCAGGUAUAGUUGCCGUAACACAGGUAUUUCUCGGCCUAGCUUGCCCCCUCAGAAGUUGUGCAUCAGAGGCGAUUUGAGCCAAUUCGUCUGCGUCGGUAUUAUGGACCUGAGAAAUAUGUUCAAAUGUAAUACCGUCGAAAGAUUCAGUCAAAUAGCUGGCAACCAUGUGGUAGGGUGCCAGGGUAUAACUCAUGCAUCGAAAAGACCCAUUAAGUUGGUUAAUCACAAGUUCGAAGUCGCCGAGGAUGAGGGCACGGGUUGCCCGCAAGUCAUGAAGGAUGCCAAGGCCGAUGAUGAGGGCUUCAUAUUCGGCUUGAUUGUUUGUGCAUUCAAAAUCCAGCUUGAGCAAAAAAUACCAACGAUCGUGGUUUGAGGAUUGAAUGACAAUUUCGACACCAGCCAAGGAUGAAGUACUUGAGCCGUCAAAGUACAUCGUCCAGUAGUUAUCGCGUGUUUGAACCAUGUCGAUUUCGAUAUCGGUGCCCCCAAAACCAUAGGGGGAAUUGUGUUGAGCGAGGAAAUCAGCUAAUGAUUGGCCUUUGACAGCUUUCUGGGGCACGUAUUGCAAGCUAAACUCGGACAACGCCAUUGUCCACUUCCCAAUUCGACCUUUGACAAUUGGUCGGGUGAGCAUGUAGCGGAUGACGUCGGUCUGGGUAAUGACUUAUGUGAUCGAUGGGAGCAUGUAAUGCCGAAGCUUGGAGGCGACGAAAAUACGGCGAGACAAAGUUUCUCGACGGUGGAAUAAUUGAUCUCCGGUUGAUUGAGAUCUCGAUUGAGGUAGAAAAUAGCCUGUUCUAGUCCGGCAUCGUUGUCUUGUGCGAGGAGGCAGCCGAUGGAUUCUUCAGCCGCCGAGAUAUAUAGCUUGAGAGGCUUACCGCGCCGGGAUGAGACAAAGACAGAUGGUGUCGUGAGGAAGACUUUGAUUUGCAUAAACGCCGCCUAAUGCUCAUCUUUCCACUCAAAUUUAUCUGAGUCCUUAAGUUUCAAAAGCGUAGAGAACGCUUUCAUUUUACCCGCCGAGUUAGCUAUAAAUCGGCGGAGAAAAUUUAUCUUACCGAGUAAGGACUGUAGUUGUUUCUUCAUCGUCGGGGGUGGAGCAUUAAUGAUUGCACGUGCUUUAUUUUCAUCCACGUCAAUCCCACGGUGAUGCACGAGGAAGCCGAGAAAAUUACCGGCCGACACACCGAAGGCACAUUUGGCAGGAUUCAUUUUGAGGUUGUGUUGACGCAUACAGAGGAAAGCCUAUCGGAGAUCAUCCAGAUGUGUCUGCCGAUAUUUAGAUUUAAUUAUAACAUCGUCGAUGUAGACUUCGACGAUGGUUCCAAUUAAAUCAUGAAAUAUGGUGUUCAUUGCUCGUUGGUAUGUGGCGCCUGCGUUCUUGAGGCCGAAUGGCAUGACAACCCAUUCGUAAGUGCCGAGUCCCCCGGGAAGCGAAAAACAGUCUUGUGCACAUCGACUUCGGCAAUGAAAAUUAGGUUGUACCCGGCAUGGCCAUUCAUAAAAGAUAAGAUCGCAUGAUUCGCCGCGGCAUCGAUUAACAAAUCCGAAAUCGGCAUUGUAUACUCAUCUUUGGGAGUUGCCAGAUUCAGAUUUCUGAAGUCGAUGUAAAUGUGCAAUGCACCACUUUUCUUUAAAACAGGAACGAUAUUGGCCAACCAUUCAACGUAUCGAGCUAUCCGAAUGAACCCUGCUUUCAAAAGCUGAACCAGUUCAUCCUUGAUACCGAGUUGCACUUCGGUCGAGAAUCGUUGAAGUGGUUGACGGAAAGGUUUACAUCCAGGUUUAAUACGUAACUCAUGCUCGACGAGAGUGCGAUCUAAGCCAGGCAUUUCAUGGUAGCUCCAAGCAAAACAAUCUUUGAAUUCCUCAAGCAGGGCACGAAGUUCGGCUUUCAUAGGUUGGGGAAGUAAAACACUAAUAAAUAAAGGUCGUGGGUCAUCGGCCGUCCCAACAUUAAUUUCUUCCAAGGGGUCCUUAACUUGGGGCCGAUUGUCUUCGAGCUCGGCCGAGGCAGCUUGAAUUUUGUCAAGAGAUAAGACAGAAUCAUUAUCUCAUUUGGCGAGGAACUCGACGAGGUUAGCACCCGAAUUUGGUUGCUUAGAUAUAGUAUACCAAUGAGCCAGCAGUCGUUCCAUAGUAUAUGAAAUCACGGCCCAAUGUUGUUCCCGAUCGGUGUCAAACAUUGGGGUCGGGGAUGAAGUUUGCUAAACCGAGUCUCACCGAAUCCUAGUGGAUAGUUUCGGCGCCAACCUCGAUAACUUUUUGAACAGAAAUCUGAGUCGACCAUCUUUCAUCAUUGAAACCCUGUAGGGUGAUGUAGCCGACGUGGUCAUCAUAAUACCGUGCUUGGAUCAUGUUAGCUUCGAAUGGCUGACUAUCGGCCGGGUGAACAAUGACAGAUUUUCCGUCCCAAAAAAUGAGCAUUUGAUACAAUGAUGAAGGAAUACAGCUGGUUUGAUGAAUCCAGUCGUGACCGAGCAGUGCAUUAUACUCGGUCUUGGAGUUAUGAUAAAAAAGGCGGUCAUGUGAUUACAGCCGGUAAUGUUUACCGCUAAAGGAAGCACCCAUUUAGUGUGGGAUUUGUCUCCGACGAAACUGCUCAUUGUGAUCCCGGAGGGAAUAAGUUUGUCAUUGGAGCGACGUAAUGCCUUCAUGACGUUUAUAGGCAUGAUAUUGACAGUGGCUCCACAGUCAAAAAAAACUUUGGAGACUGGAUACCCUUCGAUAUGGGCCGUUACAUACAAUGGCUUCAAAUGAUGAAGUUUGGCCGAUGAGGAGCGAGGAAACAAUUCAGCCAAAGCUGCCUUGAGAUUGUCAUCUUUUGUUGUCGACUCGACUUCAGCAAUGGUUACAAAAUCAAUGUGACCGGCUUCUUCGGCAACUACGUCUCCAUUGAGGAAAUUUGGUUGAGCUGUGCUCGACUGAAAAUCAGCGAGCAAAACAUGGACCAUAUUGAUUUCCAUGUUAUCUAAUACUGACGAGCCCAUCGGGUUACGAUCAUCUUCUUCAGCCUCUUCUCUUUCCGGGUCACCGACUGCGGCAUCUGCUUCCGUUAGAGUUAUACUAAGAGACUCCUCUGCUCCUUCAAUAGUUUGUUCCCUUGGUGUCUCUUCGGCAGCCUGUUGGUUCUGCGUAGGUGCCUCAAGUGAGUCUGAGAUCAGAAGUGUGCCUGGGAUUAGUGCCAGGAUACGAGCUUGCUCUUGGUACAUUAUACGAGCAUCCCUGGUGUCGAGAUAGGCAUCCAACCAUGCGACUCGUGUUAUUUCAUCGACCGUAAGGCCGAAGAGAGAAACAGCCAAAAAGACUUCGAAAUGGUACUGUAAAUACUGAAGGUCCUCCAUUGAGAAAUGAAGGUCGGCUGCAUCGAUAUCAGUGUAUGGGUCGACUUCAAAACCAAGGACACGAGCUUCUCGUAUGUGCUGGAACCUAGCUUUCAAUCCUGGGUCUAAGGUCUUCUGAAUAAUUCGCUUGGCAUCCGGGCAAGUUAGGACGAGAUCGAUUGUAUCUUGACAUGCUUUCGGCAAACCAUACAGAUCGUUGGCCGAAUGUUUUUUAUGAAACUCUCGCAUAUAUUCCAAGGCCUCCCCGAGGAAUGGUGGAUGUAAAUUCCGUCGAAUUUUGAUCAAAGGUUCUCGUGUGGCUGGCGGGGGCAAUUUGCUUUCAGCUUCUUGCCUGAAAUGCUCGAAGCGUGCCUUCAUUUCCCCGGGCCGAAGAAGAAGUUUGAUCCGUUUAUUAGCCUCUUCAAACGUGGUUUCGAUAUCUUGAUUGACCAACCGUUUCCCUUGAACCAACUCUGUCAUAAUCAUUGGAGAUGGUCGUUCAUCGUCGUUGGCAAUUGUUUCCUUUGGCCGCCAUUUAGGGAUCGAAGUUUCUUGGGCUACCCGUCGGCAGGCCAUGCAGUCUAUUCUUUGGUGCCGACGUUUCUGGGAUUUGGACAGUGCAGUGUAGACGCCUUUCGAAGAGUGAUAUGUAUACCAACGCUAGUCUUGAGGUUCGGGAGGUUUGAAAGUUUUUUGGCUCUGCGAUGAUUUCGAGCUGCUAGAGUUACGUAUAUAAUAAUCCUCGUCAUAAAACGGAGCAUCAAAAUCGAGGCACCGUCUGACUGAAGGUGUCUCUUCCACCCUCACUUUAAGACCAAGCCUAUAAAAAACCCCUUGAUGUUGGCCUGCGUUGAUCACCUUUUGCUGUGUUGCGGUUGUAGGUUGUUCCAUUAUAGGCGGAGAAGACUUUUUCUUUGGCUCGGUGUUGACAUUUGCUUUACAUUUGCUGCAUAAAACCGCCGUCCCACUGUCUUCAUCAGUGCUGUAAUCUGUCAUGGGCUUGACAAUAGCGGGUCCCGUUAGACCUGUAAGUGGUUUGUUCGAACGAAAAUCAGCAUUGAAACGUGGCCGAGAGUUCUGAUUCAGAGAACGUUGCGGUGUAGCGACCUUUGCUUUCCCUUUUCCUUUGUCCCUAAGUAGGCGCGCAUCUACCAUAUUUAUUGUUGCCGUGGGGAAUGGGUCAGUAUCAACACUCAUCUUCUUUUCCAAAAAUCUGAGUUUGCCGUUAUCGAUACAGCUUUGGAUGUUGUCUCGAAACACGACGCAAUUAUUUCUCGUAUGUUUGCUUGUAUUAUGGUAUUUGCAAUAUAUCUUUCCUUUAAGCUCGUCAGCCUUGGGAAUGGUAUGCCCAGGCCGAAGUUUGAUGAUCUUCGCUGAUAGCAAUUGAUCAAAAAUUGCAUCGGCCUUUGUAAUAUCAAAAGUAUAGACUUUUGACGUUUUCAUUGUUUCCUCAGGGGCCGAGCGGGUUUUGACUUCCUUAGAGUCAAUUUAAGUCAGUGCCUUGCAAACGUAUGGCUUAUCUAUGACUAUCUCGGCUGCAUCCACGCUAACACAUUCACCUUCGGCCGAUGCAUAACUGACAGUGGGAUUUUUGUAGAUCGUCUAUCUGGACGGAGCUUUCGAGAUCUUCUCUUCACGGAGCAAAUAAUCGUAUUGCUCGACAUGCUGGGCUAGUUCAUACAUAUCCCGAAAGUUUAUCGCCAAGAAUUUCUUUUUGUAUUCUACAUCAAGACCAUUCAGAGCAAGUCUGACGAACUCGACUUCAGGGAGAGGUACUCGGCACCAAUUCCUGGCUGAUUUGAAUCUGGUAAGAUAAUCCAUUGGUGACUCGUCGGAUGCUUGAGCCAUCCUUGCUAACGAGGAUACUAACACUUCCAUCCCUGGCCGAUAAAACUGCUCAUGAAAUUUCUCGACCAACUUCUCCCAGCUCUGGACAGAAUUCGGUGGGAGGUUGAUAUACCAAGCGAAUGCUGAACCGGUUAGCGAAAAGUUGAACAGUCGCUAUUGACAUCUCCGCAUUGCGCGGUGAAACGAGCCACAUGUUCCAACGAGGAUAAUGAUGAUUCUCCAGCGAAAAGGCUAAAAUCCGAGAUUUUGAAACCUCUAAGGUAUUCGAACUGUUCCACAUAAGCCGGAUACGGAUGUAUAAAUUUAGGGAACUUCGGCCCUUUCUUCAUGGCCGAAUCGAUCAUCCGUUGGACCUCAAUCAUAUCGACGGGUGUUGCCUUCGCCCGCUGGUCGGAUUCGUCUGACCUACUAUUUGAUCCUCCUCCUUUUUCCAAGUUAAUUGGUUUGAGCCGAACAGGGGUUGACUCGGCCAGUGCAAUUGGUAAUAGAUUAUUUUUUGGUGGCAAGUGCUGGGCAAGAUCGAAAGACCUACCGUCACUGACCUUGCUAACCAAUAUUUUGAGUAAUCUGGUUUGUGCCUCACUGGUAUUGCGUAUCACGUCAUGAAGUUUAUCGAUUCCUCGACUAAACGUCUGUUCAACCGUUCGAGAUUGCUCGUCAAGUCAUUUGCAAAGAAACGAUCUUGUUGGUGGAUCAGUUCCAUCACCACCAUCCUCAUCACAAUCCUCCACUAUCCUUUCAUUGAGAACGCAGGUGUUCCUGUUAGGGACUUCAAGACUGUGCGACUGACCGCCGAGAUUAACUUCCCUUUCUCGAUGAAUCGCGCUUGUAGACUCAGGUAUCACAGCGCUAAUGGGAUUCUGCGCCUGCGGAACACUUUGUCCUAUGUUUUGAAUUGGCAAAUCGGCUGUUGACUUUCCCAUAGCUGUUUUCUUUUUUACCGAUUGCGUUUCAAUUGGCAUGAACUUCGUAGUUUAGCAUUGGGUCCCACUGGGCAUGCCAAAAUAUUGACCCUAAAAACUACCAAGCCUACGUGGCGCGCAUGCCGAGUAAUCUAUAAGCUAACUACGUCCUUCGAUGAAUACGGGGCGUGCCAACUCGUCGAGCUCGAGUAAAUUUGUUGAUGAGGCGUUGGGUGCGCGGCUGACUUCUGCGUCUUGCGAUUGCGACCGAGGAAGGAACAUGUCUCGGCCUCUUGGGUUCUCGAACCUGAAGACAAGGCUACUAUUCUUACGAAGUUCACGAAUCGUCGUCGUCGGAUUCGGUCACAGUGAUGCUAUUCGUCAGAGUAAACUCACGCCGAAUCGAUACCAAAUUGUAAGGGCACAAAUACUCAAAGCGAAUAUAAGUCUUAAUAGUUAACGUGGUUCGGCCGUCUGAAUGCCGAACUUUAAAUCCCACUUGAGAGUAUCCAAUCAUAAAAUAAUUCGGCGUGCAAUGCGCCGAGCUCAGUAAACUGUAACACCUCACUUCGUCAAGAAGGCUAAUAAGAUGACCUCAAUCAAUAAGGAUUUGGAAAUCCUUCUCGACUGAGACUUGGAUAGGUAACCAACCGUCCUCGCCGCAGUGCUGUUGAUGCCAACGGAAGAUGCUGCGAGAUCGGCUGAUUCUACGGUGACAGAGUUAUCUAUGUCGACUUAAGAUAUCACCGGUUGCUUUCACAGUGCUGUUGAUGCCAACGGAAGAUGUGUCAGCGAAAAGAGAAAAUAAAAAUCUCAAAGUUGUUGAGAGAGUUUGCGCAGGGUAGUUGUGUGUUGAAUUGGAGAGGCCUUGAAUGAUGUACAACCUCCUCUAUUUAUAGCACCGGAUACCUUCAAGGUCAAGUUAAAACCCUACCCGGAUUAGGACUUCUUCUCCUGAUCAAAUACCAACUCGACCAGUCCUAUUUUCACCAUAAUUGUGAACCUAGUCCUUUAUUAAGCCGGAUUCACUUCCGGGUUAUUAAUCUUACUGAGACUCUUCAUUGCACCAGGAUUCGACUCGUCUUGCGGCAUGGCUUAACCAACCCAGGUUUGGAAACCCACAACCUAACCGGUCCAGAACUAAAUGCUGGGCCGAGAAUAAUUCUAUACUCGGCCCAAACUAAUAUUUUGGGCCCAAACAUGUAGUAAUUCUGAAAAAAAAGCUUCAACUGGAGGAGAAUGGCAAGAAAAUGUUGUUGACUGCAUUACCAGUUUGAAUAACAUGUACUUCUCCCUUCACUUUAAAUUUAUCGUUAAUUUCUAUUUUGAGUUGAAUGGGUUGCAUUUCAAAAUGACUGAAUUUCUGUAUUAUUACAGUUGCGGAGUUGCAAACUAAGUAUAUGAUAGAAUGCCAUACAUGGUUUAGACCAUCUAUAUGCAAAUUGCAAUCUGGCAUGACCUCAAGUUGUAAUUUACAGCAUAUAUCCCUCCUAUGCCCUUUCUCUUUCACUAACGCCCACACUAUCUAGGAGCUUUGAAAGCAGGUAAUCUUCUCUGCACUUCUCAUUUCUUUGAUUUCUAAGGCCACAACAAUUUUUUUGGAGGAGCAGGUAAAUUAUUUCUUCGAAUUUUUUUCUUCUUCAAUAAUUAUGAUGUUUAGUUGAUUAAAUUGGACUCAUAUUUUUAGUGUUAUUUACUCAACCUUUUUAAACAUUUCAUAGAAGUACUCAACCUAUUGAAAAUGUCACAUCUAUUACCCCAGUCAAUUUUUCAAAUAUAGAUUAUAUUCAAAAUCCACCAACUGGGUAUAUCAUUGUCAACAUUAAUAGUAGUUGCCUCUAAAUCUAAAUUUCAAGUAUAGUUUAUAUAAUAUGGAAUCUAACGAUCAAACAAGCAUUGAAUUGAAUCGAAAAUAGACACAAAUUGAAAUGACAUGAAGGGGCAAUCUCCUAACAAAGAAGAGGGUUAAGAAUUCAGAUAUGGUUUCAAGGAGCUUGUUUCUACUCAUGUGAUUUCCUCAUUCACUAAUUUUCUACUCGUAAAGCUUCCAGUUCUUCCGUGUGGAUAAUGAAGAUGUUCGUGGCAGCAUCAUGACAGCCCAUACCAUUUCAACGACCUCCAUGACCUUCUUCUCGAUGUUGGCGGCUUGAGUUGUAGGGUGGAGUUGUUGAUUUUGAGUUGGAUUUGAAAGUGAUGGUCUAAUAAGGAUGGUGGUGAUCGUUAGCUGGUGGAGGUUGUGCGUUCAUGACCUUCUAUUGAUUUUGAAGACAAAGUAACUCUAAUUAAUUUAACAGAUGUUUUAAUUGGAGCUUAAUCGAUGUGACAUUUUCAAUAGGUUGAGUACUAGUUUGAAAUGUUUAAAAGGUUGAGACCAAUUUAAAAUAACACUAAAAGGUUGUGGGGAUUUCGAUACUUAAUCUGAUUUUUAUCCCCACAAUUAUUUGAUUUUCCUUUCAUCUUUGAUUUUAUUUGUUAGGCAUUGAUGAAGUAGAUGGUAUUGCAAUAUAGUGUUCUGAAAUUGAUGACAUGUGCUGAAAUAAUCCCGAUACCAUGUUCAAUCUGACAUGCGAUGAAAUUGAUACCAUGUGCAGUGCUGCAAUAACAAUUGACGAUUAGGAAUAUGUUGUACUUUGCAAUCUGAAAUGACCUCAUGGUUCUUCAAAUGUACCAGGACAAGCAUUGUAGGGUUGUUACUACUAGGGACUGCGAUCCAAGAAAAAAUUGUCAAAUCAAAUUUACGUUCUUCUUUUUACUUGAGACAUUCUUUCUGUUUAUUCAUUCCUCUCUCAAUGAGUAACUUAUAGUUUUAAAGCGAGUUUUAACGAAAAGUCCGCAGUACUGUUCACUUUAACGAAAAAUCAACUUUGUGACACUAAAAAGUCAAACUUGGUACUAUUCAUUUUACCCUUUAUUUUGUCCUUAUCGUUAAAACUCAAAGUUUUCAAGCCAUUUUCAUUAGUUUUUCUUAGUUUUAAAUCCAAAUGGUGGAAUGGAGUGUGAUAUAAUGGAUUUGUUGUGGAUUCCUUAGGGGUUGUGACACACCCCGUCCCGAAGGAGGGCGUGCUGGCCGUCACGUGAGAGUGACGUAACCAUUUACACAGUUCGGAAGCUUUAAAAAAAAUUCCAAUUACUAAGAUAACACACCCGAGGGUGAGUCCUACUUUUGUGAAUUCUGUCAGAACACCGUUGGAUUCCUCGUGGCCACCAAAGCUCUGCUAACUUGAACCUGGAGGGGCGCAAAACAAAAUUGAGUGGGUCAGUAAAACAAAGUUUUUCGAAAACUUUUCAUUUAAAACAUUUCUAACCCCUCACCGUAAAACCUGUAUACUUUCCCAGAAAAUAGCAUAUAUAUAAACAUAUAUAUAAGCAAAACUCUCAAAUCUCAAACCUUUAACACUUUUCAGAAAUAUAUAUAUAUAUAUAUUAUAUAUAACCAUAUAAAUCUCAAAGCUUGAAUCCCAAAUCUUUAACAUUUUUCAAGAAAAACAUGCCAUGCCAUCAAUCAAAAUAUAAAUCAGGUGAAAUAAGGAAUCAAUCGGAGACCCUGCAGUUGGUCCUAUACGAUUAAUUCAAUAGCUCAAUAUCUCACUAAGCCGGAGUCACCACAGUGACCUAUACGGCCCUACUCUGCACAUCACUCGGAACUACGUAAGGUAGUCUAUACGAUGAAAGGUGUAAAAUACGCUCUAGUGCUUCUCUCAUCAUAUCAUCAGCGCGCAUAUCUAAGGUCACCCACCAGUCGGAACCCCUCUAAUGGUCUGUACGACUGGCAUGUCGGAACCCUCACAUGGUCUGUACGACAUCCACCUACUUGGAUCCAAGGCGAGCGUGCGGUGUGGUGAAUAAUAUAAGCACUAACACCUAGGGUGCAGAUUAUGAGCUCAAACAUCGAAACAUCAAUCAAUUAAAUGAAUAAUGAACUCACCUGACGUACCUGUGCCUCCACAGCACCAUGCAACAUGUAUGCAUCAUAUAUCAAUCAUGUAAUUCAUAUAACAAUUCACAUUUUCAAAUAAUUCUAUGCAUGGCAUUUUUAAAGCAUAUCUUCAUAUAUAAAUUCAUUUUCUGGGAAAAAUCAAUAGUAUAAAGGUAAUAC